UACGGAGGGGCUAGCGUUGUUCGGAAUUACUGGGCGUAAAGCGCGCGUAGGCGGCUUUGUAAGUUAGAGGUGAAAGCCCGGGGCUCAACUCCGGAACUGCCUUUAAGACUGCAUCGCUUGAAUCCAGGAGAGGUGAGUGGAAUUCCGAGUGUAGAGGUGAAAUUCGUAGAUAUUAGGAAGAACACCAGUGGCGAAGGCGGCUCAC
rnacentral:rRNA from 1 species